rfam:Arthrobacter crystallopoietes BAB-32 contig84, whole genome shotgun sequence.
CGCGGUCCUCGGUAGUGACAUCCGGGAGGCAGCUGCACACGCAGCGCCGCCCGGACGUCUCGAUCGAAGACCGGG